AUUGAACGCUGGCGGCAGGCCUAACACAUGCAAGUCGAACGGUAACAGGAAGAAGCUUGCUUCUUUGCUGACGAGUGGCGGACGGGUGAGUAAUGUCUGGGAAACUGCCUGAUGGAGGGGGAUAACUACUGGAAACGGUAGCUACUACCGCCUAACGUCGCAAGACCAAAAAGGGGGACGUUCAGGCCACUUGCCACCGGAUGUGCCCAGAUGGGAUUAGCUAGUAGGUGGGGUAACGGCUCCCCUAGGCGACGAUCACGAGCUGGUCUGAGAGGAUGACCAGCCACACUGGAAGUGAGACACGGUCCAGACUCCUACGGGAGGCAGCAGUGGGGAAUAUUGCGCGAUGGGCGCAAGCCUGAUGCAGCCAUGCCGCGUGUAUGAAGAAGGCCUUCGGGUUGUAAAGUACUUUCAGCGGGGAGGAAGGGAGUAAAGGUAAUACCGUUGCUCAUUGACGUUACCCGCAGAAGAAGCCCCGGCUAACUCCGUG
rnacentral:rRNA from 1 species